rnacentral:lncRNA from 1 species
GUUGGCCUGUCAGCACUGUGGGGCCUGAAAAGGAAGCAGGACAUGGUGGUCUCAGCGUUCAGUAUGGAAACACCCUAGCUCAGAAUUGGUCUUCAACGGUUGCUUCUGUUCCUCCCCACACACAGGCUCCUGCAAAGCUUCUCAGCUGAAGUCCAGAUUAUUCGACAGCAACUCUCCAUUCCUCGGUCACAUGAAGCCCGUGAGGUUCUCAUGAAAAAAAGCUCUAAACUGUUCUCCUCUCAGAAUUUCUAAGUGGCCAAGCUAUACCAUGACCCUCGCAUUAUUCUCUAGAAAACUUUGG